rnacentral:lncRNA from 1 species
GCAGAUGAUCAUGUCUCGUGAAUAGCCAAAACAUGGAGGAAUAUUUAGAAAGGUAUUUUCAGAUGCUCCAAUGAGGAAAUACUUAUGAUGCUAGAACUCGUGUGCUAUAGAGUAUGUUAUCCCAUUUUUAAAUUGGUCUACUUUGCAGCAGCUAAUGCUAGUCACAAUAUGGGUUCCAAUGAAUGCAAUUUAGUCAUUAGUAAGGCUAAAGUGAACUAGGGUACUACCGUGAAGAUAUUCAAACCUCGAGCUCGAGGAUGUAGUUAUCCGAUAAAAAGACCUACAUGUCGUACAACUAUUGGAGUGAAAGACCUAUUUAGGAACAAGAAAAUAUCAUUGUGAUUUGAAUUGAA